rnacentral:lncRNA from 1 species
CCGGGAGCAAAGCCGAGUCGGCAAGGCCAUCCGCCCGCUGAGCAGGUGUUGGCUGCCUGGGUGGCACUUCCUGUGCUGAGGCUCAGGGCUCUGAGCCCUCAUGGCACAUAAGGUCUUGAGGACAGUGACCACACAGCCCAAUCGGCCGGGCAGGUGGACUUAGGAGGGAGAGCCGGAGGCUGCAGAGUGUGCUCCGAGGUACCCUCCGCCUGGGACUGUAAGAACAAAGAAGGCUCUGGGGUAAGGUGACAGGGACAACUCCAGCAGAGAAGCGGAGGGAGGGGUGGAGACAGCACGAGAUGACCGGAGACCACAUGUUGGGUAGUGCCGGCGGGGGGAACUAUGGGAAAGGGAUUGGGCCUGGCAUGAAGACCCCCAGCCCAGCCCCGUGGGGGUCCUAGCAACCCCAGAAGUCCUGCUAAGACCCUGGCACAGACCCCACUUCCCUGAGACUCAGCUUCCCCAUCUUUAAAGUGAAGCCUGGCGCCUGCCUGUGAGUGCGCUGAAAAUCAGAUGAUGGCAGCCACAGAGGCGCUCAGCACAGCGCCCAGCGCAGGGCCGGGACCCAGAGUGGACUCUACCGUGGGGCUGCCUCAAAGAAAUCUCAGCAAACACAGGAAGCCAGCCCACCCGUGCAGCCAUGGGGCCAGGAAGCCCGCCCUUUACCAAGUCAUUUGGGCAUUUUUUCUCUGUGCUAACAGCCCAGAUGGAGCCAUAGCCUCAACCUCUGUGUUCUGAUAACACCAAGCUGGGACGCCGGAGCCAUGCAGGGGACAGUGCCCGGCCUGAGGCUGCAGCCUGGGUCUGGAUGCCUUUCUAAUUCAGGGCCUCCUCAUGGCCUGGUUCCAUAAAUGGUCAAAUGCAGCCUGACAGCGCAGCCUCCUAUCAGCGCUGGGCUCCGUACCGCCACACAGCCCACAUACCCCGUUCCCCAGGAGACGCCCGCAGGUGGGCAGCGUCACUCCCACCCGCCGAGCACACGCUGUCCCCGUCUCGUGUCCCGAGGAGCCGGAAGCAGCUGCUUCCUCCCAGCCUGAAAGCUGCACCUCGGGCUGCACUCGGCUCCCCGAACCCGCCCUCCGCUGCCCUGCAAUUCGCCAAGGGAGCUACCCUUCCCAUAUAAAAAUUUCACCUCCAUUUCCUUGUAGAGAAGAAACAUUUCUGACAGCAAGGAAGAUUCUAAUUUGAAAAGCAAGUGAUUCAUCUCCCGGUGCCAAACAGCAGACGCAGGCGUUACCAGUCUGGGUGGGGCGCCCGAGCUGGGGACCUGGGGUCCUCUGGGAGGGGCAAGAAGGCAGCGAUGCUGGCCCCCGCCUCCAUCUGCCCAUCCCAUCUGCUUCCACACACCGCCCUGCCGUAGCUGCUUGCAGCCCUUCUCUG